CAAGUCGAACGAGGUAGCAAUACCGAGUGGCGGACGGGUGAGUAAUACAUAGGCAACCUGCCCAACAGUGGGGGAUACCCAGUCGAAAGAUUGGCUAAUACCGCAUACGAUCCAUGACUGGGAUGUCAUGGAUGAAAGAUUUAUCGCUGUUGGAUGGGCCUGUGGUGGAUUAGCUAGUUGGUGGGGUAACGGCCCACCAAGGCGACGAUCCAUAGCUGGUCUGAGAGGAUGAUCAGCCACACUGGGACUGAGACACGGCCCAGACUCCUACGGGAGGCAGCAGUGGGGAAUUUUCCGCAAUGGGCGAAAGCCUGACGGAGCGACGCCGCGUGGAGGAUGAAGGAUUUCGGUCUGUAAACUCCUGUCAGGGGGGACGAUGAUGACGGUACCCCCAAAGGAAGCAUCGGCUAACUACGUGCCAGCAGCCGCGGUAAUACGUAGGAUGCAAGCGUUGUUCGGAAUUAUUGGGCGUAAAGCGUGCGUAGGCGGCUUGUUAAGUCUGGUGUGAAAGCUAGGGGCUCAACCCCUGUGUUGCACUGGAAACUGGCAGGCUUGAGUGCGGUAGGGGAAGGUGGAAUUCCGAGUGUAGCGGUGAAAUGCGUAGAUAUUCAGAAGAACACCGGUGGCGAAGGCGACCUUCUGGGCCGCCACUGACUCUGAGGCACGAAAGCGUGAGGAGCAAACGGGAUUAGAUACCCCGGUAGUCCACGCUGUAAACGAUGAUCACUAGGUGUUGGGGGUAUCGACCCCCCCAGUGCCGUAGCUAACGCGUUAAGUGAUCCGCCUGUGGAGUACCGUCGCGAGACUGACACUCAAAGGAAUUGACCG
rnacentral:rRNA from 1 species